CCAUGCAUGUCUAAGCACAUGCCUUAAUACGGUGAAGCCGCGAAUAGCUCAUUACAACAGCCAUCGUUUAUUAGAAUAUCGUUAUCUUACUUGGAUAACUGUGGCAAUUCUAGAGCUAAUACAUGCAAAUAAGCUCCGACCGUAAGGAAGAGCGCAUUUAUUAGAAUAAAAACCAAUCAGGCUUCGGCCUGUAAUGUUGGUGAAUCUGAAUAACUUUGCCAAUCGCACGGUCUUAGUACCGGCGAUGUAUCUUUCAAGUGUCUGCCUUAUCAACUUUCGAUGGUAGGUUAUACGCCUACCAUGGUAGUAACGGGUAACGGAGAAUAAGGGUUCGACUCCGGAGAGGGAGCCUGAGAAACGGCUACCACAUCCAAGGAAGGCAGCAGGCGCGCAAAUUACCCACUUCCAGAACGGAGAGGUAGUGACGAAAAAUAACGAGACAGUCCUCUUCGAGGUCUGUCAUCGGAAUGGGUACAAUUUAAAUCCUUUAACGAGGAUCUAUUGGAGGGCAAGUCUGGUGCCAGCAGCCGCGGUAAUUCCAGCUCCAAUAGCGUAUAUUAAAGUUGUUGCGGUUAAAACGCUCGUAGUUGGAUCUGCGGCCAAGCGGGAUGGUCCCCCGAAAGGGUGGUCACUGUCGUUGCUAGCCUAAAAUCGAGUCGUCUCUAGGUGUUCUUUACCGAGUGCCUAGAGUGACUAGAACGUUUACUUUGAAAAAAUUAGAGUGCUUAAAGCAGGCGAAAUAGCCUGAAUAAGGUGCAUGGAAUAAUGGAAUAGGACCUCGGUUCUAUUUUGUUGGUUUUCGGAGCCCGAGGUAAUGAUUAAGAGGAACAGACGGGGGCAUUCGUAUUCCGGCGCUAGAGGUGAAAUUCUUGGACCGCCGGAAGACGGACGACUGCGAAAGCAUUUGCCAAGAAUGUUUUCAUUAAUCAAGAACGAAAGUUAGAGGUUCGAAGGCGAUCAGAUACCGCCCUAGUUCUAACCGUAAACGAUGACAACCAGCGAUUAGUCGGCGUUAAUAUACGACCCGACUAGCAGCUUCCGGGAAACCAAAGUUUUUCGUUUCCGGGGGAAGUAUGGUUGCAAAGCUGAAACUUAAAGGAAUUGACGGAAGGGCACCACCAGGAGUGGAGCCUGCGGCUUAAUUUGACUCAACACGGGAAAACUCACCCGGCCCGGACACUGUAAGGAUUGACAGACUGAGAGCUCUUUCUUAAUUCGGUGGGUGGUGGUGCAUGGCCGUUCUUAGUUGGUGGAGCGAUUUGUCUGGUUAAUUCCGAUAACGAACGAGACUCUGGCCUAUUAAAUAGACGGUAUAUCGAAAAGUAUGCCGCGCUUCUUAGAGGGACAAGCGGCGUCUAGCCGCAUGAAAUAGAGCAAUAACAGGUCUGUGAUGCCCUUAGAUGUCCGGGGCUGCACGCGCGCUACACUGAAAGAAUCAGCGUGUGUUCGUAGCCUAGUUCGGAAGGACUGGGUAACCCGAGUAAAUUCUUUCGUGCUUGGGAUAGGGAAUUGCAAUUAUUUCCCUUAAACGAGGAAUUCCCAGUAAAUGCGGGUCAUAAGCUCGCGUUGAUUAC
rnacentral:rRNA from 1 species